rnacentral:rRNA from 1 species
CACGUAGAUGGCUUUGUAAGUCGGGUGUGAAAUCCCCGGGCUCAACCUGGGAACUGCAUUCGAAACUGCAUUGCUCGAGUGUGGAAGAGGGAAGCGGAAUUCCAGGUGUAGCGGUGAAAUGCGUAGAUAUCUGGAGGAACAUCAGUGGCGAAGGCGGCUUCCUGGUCCAACACUGACAUUCAGGUGCGAAAGCGUGGGGAGCAAACAGGAUUAGAUACCCUGGUAGUCCACGCCAUAAACGAUGAGAACUAGAUGUCGGGAGGGUUAGCCUUCCGGUGUCGCAGCUAACGCGUUAAGUUCUCCGCCUGGGGAGUACGGCCGCAAGGUUGAA